CAAUAGCGUAUAUUAAAGUUGUUGCAGUUAAAAAGCUCGUAGUUGGAUUUCUGGUCGGAAGCUCCUGUCCUCUGAUGAGCGUACAAGUGCGUCCUACCAUCCCUCUGUUAACCUUUAAGGCUUUCGCGGCUUUCUAGGGGCUCAGAUAUUUUACCUUGAGAAAAUUAGAGUGUUUCAGGCAGGCUAGCGCCGGAAUACAUUAGCAUGGAAUAAUGGAAUAGGACUUUUGCCUCUUCUGUUGGUCAUGAGGCUCGAGUAAUGAUUAAUAGGGAUAGUUGGGGGCAUUAGUACUUAACUGUCAGAGGUGAAAUUCUCGGAUUUGUUAAAGACUAACUUAUGCGAAAGCAUUUGCCAAGGAUGUUUUCAUUAA
rnacentral:rRNA from 1 species